AAUAUUUAAUAGAAAACUAUUUCACUUAAGCUUAACCAACUUUUAGUUGCUCGGAGCUAGUUUUGGAACGCAUCAUGAAAUAUUUUCAUAGACGGAAAAUUCAACCCUGGGUGCAUCAUUAAUGAGCUGAAAACCCAAAACAAAUAAUUAAAUUUGUGGAUUGGAGCCUUUUGAAAUGGCUUUUAGAAACGGCAAUGAAUUUCGACAUUAUUCAAGGAAUUGUGCUGCUUUCCAUUUGGUGUAUUUGCGGUUUAUACCUUCAGAAAGUUACAAAAAAAACAUUUUCUAUUUUUAUUUAUUAUAUAUUUUUGAAAUAAAAAUACUCCACCUUGUACAGCAAAAAAUUUCUUUAAACUAUCUUGCGCAGGAGUUUGUUGAUCUUAUCUUCACGUUUACCGAAACCACCAACCUCAACGUAGUGAUUCUCCUUCUUGCGUCAGCCACUGGUUGAUCUUAUCCUCAGGA